rnacentral:rRNA from 1 species
GACGUAGGGGGCGAGCGUUGUCCGGAUUUAUUGGGCGUAAAGCGUGCGUAGGCGGCUGCGCAAGUCGGUUGUGAAACCCCGGGGCUCAACCCCGGAACUGCAUCCGAUACUGCGUGGCUAGAGGUAGGUAGGGGAGAUCGGAAUUCCUGGUGUAGCGGUGAAAUGCGCAGAUAUCAGGAGGAACACCGGUGGCGAAGGCGGAUCUCUGGGCCUUACCUGACGCUCAGGCGCGAAAGCUAGGGGAGCGAACAGG